UGUUUGUUGCUUAAGGGCGCAUGGUGGAUGCCUUGGCAUGCUGGGCCGAUGAAGGACGUGUGAGGCUGCGUUAUGCCUCGGGGAGUUGUCAACAAAGCGUUGAUCCGAGGAUGUCCGAAUGGGGAAACCCGGCCACGGUUGUGUGUGGUCACCGUAUGAUGAAUUCAUAGUUGUGCGGGGGUGAUACCGGGAAGUGAAACAUCUCAGUACCGGUGGGAGAGGAAAAUAAUAAUGAUUCUGUUAGUAGCGGCGAGCGAACGCGGAUGAGGCUAAACCGUGUGCGUGUGAUACCUGGCAGGGGUUGCGUGUGCGGUGUUGUGGGGUGCGAUGGUCAACGGUCUGCCAGUCGUUGCAUUUCUAGUGCGUGUUAGCGGAAGUGGCCUGGGAUGGUCUGCCGGAGGAGGUGAGAGUCCUGUACGUGAAGGCGUGUGCUGGUUGUGUGUCGUGUUUGCCCCGAGUAGCAGCGGGCUCGUGGAAUCUGCUGUGAAUCUGCCGGGACCACCCGGUAAGCCUAAAUACCUAGUGUGACCGAUAGUGGAUAGUACCGUGAGGGAAUGGUGAAAAGUACCCCGGGAGGGGAGUGAAAGAGUUCCUGAAACUGUGCGCUUACAAUCCGUCAGAGCACCUUCUGUGUGUGUGAUGGCGUGCCUUUUGAAGAAUGAGCCUGCGAGUCAGCGGCAUGUCGCGAGGUUAACCCGU
rnacentral:rRNA from 1 species